rnacentral:rRNA from 1 species
UACGUAGGGUGCAAGCGUUAAUCGGAAUUACUGGGCGUAAAGCGUGCGCAGGCGGUGAUGUAAGACAGGUGUGAAAUCCCCGGGCUUAACCUGGGAACUGCAUUUGUGACUGCAUUGCUGGAGUGCGGCAGAGGGGGAUGGAAUUCCGCGUGUAGCAGUGAAAUGCGUAGAUAUGCGGAGGAACACCGAUGGCGAAGGCAAUCCCCUGGGCCUGCACUGACGCUGAAGCACGAAAGCGUGGGGAGCAAACAGG